AAGUCGUAACAAGGUUUCCGUAGGUGAACCUGCGGAAGGAUCAUUAAAAAGGAUACCCAACACACACAGUGCACCAAAACAAUACAAUAUAAUUAAUAUACAAUUAAUUAAUUUAAAUUAUACAACUUUUAGCAACGGAUCUCUAGGUUCUC
rnacentral:misc_RNA from 1 species